AUUUAGCCUUCAUGAAUAUGCAGAAUGUAUACAGAUUAUCAAAACGCACAAAGUACUAGGAGGAGCAGAUGCAAAUGAAUCAUUCAGCAACACAACGACACAGGGAAGCAGUGUCUACCUCACAACCAAUCAGCACUAAUGAGCAGCGUCUGCCUCACAACCAAUCAGGUUGGGGGACGCAGAGAAUGGCUUUGUUUACAGUCAGAAAGAGCGGUCCGCUCAAAAAAUUUAAAAUGUUGACUACACAGACAUAACAGAACAUAGCGAUAUUGUUACAUUACCAAAUGUCAUCAAUAACUAAUAGCUAUUGACUGAUAUUCAAAGCUUUUUUGUAUAUACACCACAAAAAAAGAUGCUUCUUUAACGGAAUCCUGCCUACCCCACCUUUAAUUCUCCAUGAUGACAGUCUGUAGCACACACAAAAUCCCUGUUUAAAUCAGUGGCUCUGCACCACUUUUAUCAAAUGCUCGCACAAUCAUAGUAGAUCACCCGCAACACACCCAAUCAUAGCAUGUGCAAUUUUUUAGUUUGCACAAGCAAUCUAACGCUUGUUAUUUGGGAUCUACACAGUCUAUGAGUGCGACAGAGAAAAUCAGACUAGGUUUUAGCCAAAAAUCUUUUUGUUGAUAUGAAUUCUUAGCUAGGUAUGCUCAUAUUUAUUUUCCAUGGAUGACUGCUGCUAUAUUUACUCCACCUUCCUUACUAGUAUUAUACUGUGAACCAGCCACAACCUCAACCUCAAAAUAACUACACUAGCUAUAUAGAUGCAGUACACACCUGGGUACAAACUUCUGUCUAAAGUAGUCCUGGGGGAGUGAUGGAGACCAAAGAGAAUCAAGAGAAACUGAGGAUAUAUGGCAAAGGUGAACAAAGGCCAUGCCCUAAAUGGAGGACUGAGAGGAUGGGGCUGUGUGUUUGAUUCAGGGCUUAUUGGCGCGGCAUCAGGGGGCAGUUUGGUCCAAAUUACCUCUCGGCCAUUUACCCCCUCCUCCAGUGUCAUGGUAGACCUUUUCAACCCAGAAUAAAUGAACAGCCCCAUCGGCCAUCCAUGAGGAGGGAGGUUGAUAAAGGGACACGCUUUCCUCAGUGAUGUUUAGAUUCAUGGUCAACAAAUGUAGAGCAAUACAACACCAUCUUAAGGUGAACAUUAAAAAUGUGUAAAAAAAAAAAAAUAAAUGUUAUAAAUUUGUUUCAGUUGAAACAUAGGAGGGUGAAAUUCUAGUACAAGCAGGACAGCUAGGUGAAGUUUUUCAUUUACCAAUGCGUGAGACUAGUAAGCUCGUCCACUAACUGCAUACUAAUGUGAACAGCAUAAAGGAAACAUCCAGGAAAAAUCUGAACCAGUGUGAGGAUUAUGGAUACUUAAUGUUGUCCCAUACAAUCCAAGAAAGCCUAAUUAAAACAGACAGGCAGGAUUGAACAUGUAACCUCACUGACCUUUCCCCUCGGUUUUUCACCGCCUCCCACUCAUUCAUAUAUUCCAACAUCCAGAGUACACACCAGGUGCCAAACAGAGCUGUUCAUUCGUCAUCCUAAUUUGAGAGCAGUGUACAAUAAAUAUUUA
rnacentral:lncRNA from 1 species